rnacentral:rRNA from 1 species
GGGUUGUGAGGUUAAGCGACUAAGCGUACACGGUGGAUGCCCUGGCAGUCAGAGGCGAUGAAGGACGUGCUAAUCUGCGAAAAGCGUCGGUAAGGUGAUAUGAACCGUUAUAACCGGCGAUGUCCGAAUGGGGAAACCCAGUGUGAUUCGUCACACUAUCGUUAACUGAAUACAUAGGUUAACGAGGCGAACCGGGGGAACUGAAACAUCUAAGUACCCCGAGGAAAAGAAAUCAACCGAGAUUCCCCCAGUAGCGGCGAGCGAACGGGGAGCAGCCCAGAGUCUGAAUCAGCUUGUGUGUUAGUGGAACGGUCUGGAAAGUCCGACGGUACAGGGUGAUAGUCCCGUACACCAAAAUGCACAGGCUGUGAACUCGAAGAGUAGGGCGGGACACGUGGUAUCCUGUCUGAAUAUGGGGGGACCAUCCUCCAAGGCUAAAUACUCCUGACUGACCGAUAGUGAACCAGUACCGUGAGGGAAAGGCGAAAAGAACCCCGGCGAGGGGAGUGAAAAAGAACCUGAAACCGUGUACGUACAAGCAGUGGGAGCACCUUCGGGUGUGACUGCGUACCUUUUGUAUAAUGGGUCAGCGACUUAUAUUCUGUAGCAAGGUUAACCGUAUAGGGGAGCCGCAGGGAAACCGAGUCUUAACUGGGCGUUAAGUUGCAGGGUAUAGACCCGAAACCCGGUGAUCUAGCCAUGGGCAGGUUGAAGGUUGGGUAACACUAACUGGAGGACCGAACCGACUAAUGUUGAAAAAUUAGCGGAUGACUUGUGGCUGGGGGUGAAAGGCCAAUCAAACCGGGAGAUAGCUGGUUCUCCCCGAAAGCUAUUUAGGUAGCGCCUCGUGAAUUCAUCUUCGGGGGUAGAGCACUGUUUCGGCUAGGGGGUCAUCCCGACUUACCAACCCGAUGCAAACUACGAAUACCGAAGAAUGUUAUCACGGGAGACACACGGCGGGUGCUAACGUCCGUCGUGAAGAGGGAAACAACCCAGACCGCCAGCUAAGGUCCCAAAGUCAUGGUUAAGUGGGAAACGAUGUGGGAAGGCACAGACAGCCAGGAUGUUGGCUUAGAAGCAGCCAUCAUUUAAAGAAAGCGUAAUAGCUCACUGGUCGAGUCGGCCUGCGCGGAAGAUGUAACGGGGCUAAACCAUGCACCGAAGCUGCGGCAGCGACACUAUGUGUUGUUGGGUAGGGGAGCGUUCUGUAAGCCUGCGAAGGUGUGCUGUGAGGCAUGCUGGAGGUAUCAGAAGUGCGAAUGCUGACAUAAGUAACGAUAAAGCGGGUGAAAAGCCCGCUCGCCGGAAGACCAAGGGUUCCUGUCCAACGUUAAUCGGGGCAGGGUGAGUCGACCCCUAAGGCGAGGCCGAAAGGCGUAGUCGAUGGGAAACAGGUUAAUAUUCCUGUACUUGGUGUUACUGCGAAGGGGGGACGGAGAAGGCUAUGUUAGCCGGGCGACGGUUGUCCCGGUUUAAGCAUGUAGGCUGGUUGUCCAGGCAAAUCCGGAUAAUCAAGGCUGAGGUGUGAUGACGAGGUACUACGGUGCUGAAGUAACAAAUGCCCUGCUUCCAGGAAAAGCCUCUAAGCAUCAGGUAACAUCAAAUCGUACCCCAAACCGACACAGGUGGUCAGGUAGAGAAUACCAAGGCGCUUGAGAGAACUCGGGUGAAGGAACUAGGCAAAAUGGUGCCGUAACUUCGGGAGAAGGCACGCUGGUGUGUAGGUGAAGUCCCUGCGGAUGGAGCUGAGACCAGUCGAAGAUACCAGCUGGCUGCAACUGUUUAUUAAAAACACAGCACUGUGCAAACACGAAAGUGGACGUAUACGGUGUGACGCCUGCCCGGUGCCGGAAGGUUAAUUGAUGGGGUUAUCCGUAAGGAGAAGCUCUUGAUCGAAGCCCCGGUAAACGGCGGCCGUAACUAUAACGGUCCUAAGGUAGCGAAAUUCCUUGUCGGGUAAGUUCCGACCUGCACGAAUGGCGUAAUGAUGGCCAGGCUGUCUCCACCCGAGACUCAGUGAAAUUGAACUCGCUGUGAAGAUGCAGUGUACCCGCGGCAAGACGGAAAGACCCCGUGAACCUUUACUAUAGCUUGACACUGAACAUUGAGCCUUGAUGUGUAGGAUAGGUGGGAGGCUUUGAAGCGUGGACGCCAGUCUGCGUGGAGCCAACCUUGAAAUACCACCCUUUAAUGUUUGAUGUUCUAACGUUGGCCCCUUACCGGGGUUGCGGACAGUGUCUGGUGGGUAGUUUGACUGGGGCGGUCUCCUCCCAAAGCGUAACGGAGGAGCACGAAGGUUAGCUAAUCCUGGUCGGACAUCAGGAGGUUAGUGCAAUGGCAUAAGCUAGCUUGACUGCGAGCGUGACGGCGCGAGCAGGUGCGAAAGCAGGUCAUAGUGAUCCGGUGGUUCUGAAUGGAAGGGCCAUCGCUCAACGGAUAAAAGGUACUCCGGGGAUAACAGGCUGAUACCGCCCAAGAGUUCAUAUCGACGGCGGUGUUUGGCACCUCGAUGUCGGCUCAUCACAUCCUGGGGCUGAAGUAGGUCCCAAGGGUAUGGCUGUUCGCCAUUUAAAGUGGUACGCGAGCUGGGUUUAGAACGUCGUGAGACAGUUCGGUCCCUAUCUGCCGUGGGCGCUGGAGAAUUGAGGGGGGCUGCUCCUAGUACGAGAGGACCGGAGUGGACGCAUCACUGGUGUUCGGGUUGUCAUGCCAAUGGCACUGCCCGGUAGCUAAAUGCGGAAGAGAUAAGUGCUGAAAGCAUCUAAGCACGAAACUUGCCCCGAGAUGAGUUCUCCCUGAGACUUUAAGUCUCCUGAAGGAACGUUAAAGACGAUGACGUUGAUAGGCCGGGUGUGUAAGCGCAGCGAUGCGUUGAGCUAACCGGUACUAAUGAACCGUGAGGCUUAACCUUACAACGCCGAAG